ensembl:snRNA LOC120095718 U6 spliceosomal RNA
GAACAUCUUGCAGCACAUAUACUAAACUUGGAACAAUUCAGAGUAGAUUAGCAUGGCCUUUGCACAUGAUACUUGCUUUUGAAGUACAAAGUUUUGAU